AUUUACAUUAAUAAAUUUGUUGUGCAAUUCAAUAUAACUUGAAAUAAUUAUCUAAUUUUUAUUUUUUUUCUCAUUUUUUAAAAAAAUUAUUUUGUUUUUUAGUAUUUUUUGAAUUAAUAUAUUUUUAUUAUAGUUUAUUUUACUGUAAAGGAUUUAUUUAUAUUUUGUUUAAGUAUUUUUUGUUUAAUGUACCUUUUGCAUCAGGGUUUAUCAAAUUAAUAAAAUUAUUUUAUUUUCUCGAAAUUUUGGGAUUUAAACUUUAAUGAUUUUUAUUGUAACAAAAAUAUUUUUAAUUAUGGUUUAGAUGUUAUAUGCUUUUCAUCCAAAAUGAUAUCUAGUUUAUUGAUAAAUGAAUUUAAUUCAUUCUUAAAAAGCUUAUUUUACUUUAAUUAUUUUAUGUUUUUUAGGUUAAAUUCGAUAGGGAUAAGCUUAUCUUAUUUUUUAAAACUUUUUUUUAUUAAGAUUUCUAAUAGGAUUGAAAAUUUCUAUUUUUUAUUUUUUUAUAAUUAUAUUUCUUUUUUUAUUAUUUUUUAUCGUUUAAUUUUUUAUCAUUAUUUUUUAUUUUAAUUUAUUUUUUUUCUAAUAAUGAUAAAAUUAGUAAUUUUUAUAAUUUUAAAAUAGUAACUCGGCAAAAUUAAUUUUCACCUGUUUAACAAAAACAUGGUCUUUCGUUUUAUAUAUAAGAUCAGGCCUGCCCAUUGAUUUUUGAAAAUUAAAAGGCUGCGGUAUUUUAACUGUACUAAGGUAGCAUAAUCAUUUGUCUUUUAAUUGAAGGCUAGUAUGAAUGGUUUGAUGAAAAAUUAACUUUCUUUUUUAAAUUAUUACGAACUUAAUUUUUUAGUUAAAAAGCUAAAAUUUUUUUAUAGGACGAGAAGACCCUAUAGAAGUUUACUUUUUAUAGUAAAAUUGAAUUUUAGUUUAUAUAUUUUUUUUAUAAAUUAAAAGUUUUGUUGGGGUGAUAUUAAAAUUUAUUUAACUUUUAAUUAUUAUUUCAUUUAUUUAUGUUUUAUUGAUCCAUAUUAUUUUGAUUAAAAGAUUAACUUACCUUAGGGAUAACAGCGUAAUUUUUUUGGAGAGUUCAUAUCGAUAAAAAAGCUUGCGACCUCGAUGUUGAAUUAAGAUUAGAUUUGGGGGUAAAAUUUCAAUUUUCUUGGUCUGUUCGACCAUUAAAUUCUUACAUGAUUUGAGUUCAGACCGGCGUAAGCCAGGUCGGUUUCUAUCCUUAUUUUAUAUAAAUUAGUACGAAAGGACCAUUUAUAUUAAUUAAAUUAUUUUUUUUGA
rnacentral:rRNA from 1 species